GGGGAUUUAGCUCAAUGGUAGAGCGCUUGCCUAGAAUGCACAAGGCUCUGGGUUCAGUCCCCA
rnacentral:tRNA from 1 species